rnacentral:rRNA from 1 species
UACGUAGGGGGCAAGCGUUGUCCGGAAUCAUUGGGCGUAAAGCGCGUGUAGGCGGUUCAGUAAGUCUGCUGUGAAAGUCCAGGGCUCAACCCUGGGAUGCCGGUGGAUACUGCUGGACUAGAGUGCGGAAGAGGCGAGUGGAAUUCCCGGUGUAGCGGUGAAAUGCGCAGAUAUCGGGAGGAACACCAAUUGCGAAGGCAGCUCGCUGGGACGUUACUGACGCUGAGACGCGAAAGCGUGGGGAGCAAACAGG